GACAGAGGGUGCAAACGUUGUUCGGAAUUACUGGGCGUAAAGCGUGUGUAGGCUGCUACAUAAGUCGGAUGUGAAAGCCCCGGGCUCAACCCGGGAAGUGCACUCGAUACUGCGUAGCUUGAGUCUCGGAGAGGUUGGUGGAAUUCUCGGUGUAGAGGUGAAAUUCGUAGAUAUCGAGAGGAACACCCGUGGCGAAGGCGGCUCUCUGGUACGUGACUGACGCUGAGACGCGAAAGCGUGGGGAGCGAACAGG
rnacentral:rRNA from 1 species